CACUGUCACUCCUACGGGAGGCAGCAGUGGGGAAUCUUGGACAAUGGGGGCAACCCUGAUCCAGCCAUGCCGCGUGAGUGAAGAAGGCCUUAGGGUCGUAAAGCUCUUUCGCCUGUGAAGAUAAUGACGGUAGCAGGUAAAGAAACCCCCGGCUAACUCCGUGCCAGCAGCCGCGGUAAUACGGAGGGGGUUAGCGUUGUUCGGAAUUACUGGGCGUAAAGCGCGCGUAGGCGGACCAGAAAGUUGGGGUGAAAUCCCCGGGGCUCAACCCGGAACUGCCUCCAAAACUCCUGGUCUUGAGUUCGAGAGAGGUGAGUGGAAUUCCGAGUGUAGAGGUGAAAUUCGUAGAUAUUCGGAGGAACACCAGUGGCGAAGGCGGCUCACUGGCUCGAUACUGACGCUGAGGUGCGAAAGUGUGGGGAGCAAACAGGAUUAGAUACCCUGGUAG
rnacentral:rRNA from 1 species